rnacentral:rRNA from 1 species
AUUGAACGCUGGCGGCAUGCUUUACACAUGCAAGUCGAACGGCAGCGCGGGCUUCGGCCUGGCGGCGAGUGGCGAACGGGUGAGUAAUGCAUCGGAACGUGCCCAGUAGUGGGGGAUAGCCCGGCGAAAGCCGGAUUAAUACCGCAUACGACCUGAGGGUGAAAGCGGGGGACCGAAAGGCCUCGCGCUAUUGGAGCGGCCGAUGUCGGAUUAGCUAGUUGGUGGGGUAAAGGCUUACCAAGGCGACGAUCCGUAGCUGGUCUGAGAGGACGACCAGCCACACUGGGACUGAGACACGGCCCAGACUCCUACGGGAGGCAGAAGUGGGGAAUUUUGGACAAUGGGGGCAACCCUGAUCCAGCCAUGCCGCGUGCGGGAAGAAGGCCUUCGGGUUGUAAACCGCUUUUGUUCGGGAAGAAAUCCUCUGGGCUAAUACCCCGGGGGGAUGACGGUACCGGAAGAAUAAGCACCGGCUAACUACGUG